UUUGAAUGGCAAUGAAUCAAUACUACAUGAUAAGAAUGAAAAGGUUGUCUGCAUAAAUCUUUCAUUUAUAUUAAUGCCACAACACUUGAUCUAAUGGAAAUUGACUUUAAGUCCAUAAACAAGCUCGAAACCGCGGAGGGUAACUUUGAUAGACCAUAAAUUAUUCCAUGUAUCUACACCCACAAGAAUCGUAUCAUCUGCACAUUGUGAGAUUUUGUACUUGAUUUCUCAGUUCAUUUCAAAACCUGUAAACUCUUCAAGGGCUACCACUUUUCAAACCAAACCAUUAUAAUCUUCUGCUGCAAUUAGAAAAAGAAAAAGUGUCAAAGGGUUCUCGAUCCUCUUUCCAUCAUAAAAUCAUUCACCAAAAUUGACAUACUGCUAGUAAAAAUAAAAGCUUCCAUCCAUGAUAACCACUUAUUACCAAAUCCCAUUUUUCCCAUCAUAUAUCUUAGAUUCUUCCAACUCACAAAAUCAUAUACUUUUUCAAAAUCAUAUGCAUUUUCAAAAUCCCCUUCCUUCCUUUUUUUUAGCCUAUUAACUCAUUGAUAACAACAUAAAUGUUCCCAAUGUUACAAAUUUGUAUACAUGACAUUGAAUAAUAUUUUAUAAAGAUUAUUUCACCAUUCUAACACUAUUAGACACGGUUGACGACAAGAAUGUUACUAUAUUAGAUCAAACCAAAACAUAUCAUAUUACCUUUGAUGGAUUAAAUAUUGGAACAAUGAAUACAUUAUAAUUUAAGUGUUAUUUUUAUGAGUUAGAGAUGUAAUUAUGUUUUUGAAUAGUCUAGUGAGACUUUUAAUAAAAAAAAUUGUAAUAUAAAUAUGGAGUAAGAAUGCGUUAACAAAUUUAAAGAUAAAUAUCUAAUUUUAUACGAAAAUUAUAAAAAUUACUUAUUUGAAACUUUAAAUUAAAUUAAAAAUUAAAGUUGGACUCAUAGCGUAAGGUUAACUAAAUCUAAUGUCCAAAACAAAAGUUUUAAAAUCACUAUAAACUAAACAAGAAUAAAAACUAAAUAUAAAUAAAUAAAUUUAAAAAUCAAAAAUCAAAAAUCAAAAUAAGAAUACAAAUGAUCAAAAGAAGGAGAAAUAUAAUGAUGAAAGUGAUUAUGAGAGAUAGUUGUAAAUUUGAGCAAUAUGUAUUUGUAUCUAACACAAAAUGACACAUCUUCUAUUUAUAAUAAUGCUACAAUAAUUACAUUAAAUAUCUAAAAAGUUGUAUUGAGUACGACUACCAACAAUUAGAGUAAGAUGAUGUACAAUGAAGGAAUAAUAUAAACAUUAAUUGAAUUAGUUUUAGUAUUUUCCCUCCAACUGCAUCUUACUAUACUUUAAGUUUGUUAUAUCAAAAUAUUUUCUCACAAAUUGUCAAGUUUGACAAUUGUUAGCGUGAGUCAUAACCAACAUACUGUGAGUGAAAAAGUAUUUUUAAAUACAAUCAGUUGGUUAAUGUUUUGAUGAUAACAUAUAAAUAAAGAACAAUUAGUCCCUAACUAUAUUGCUAAGUGAGUAGUUCCAAGACCAAAAAUAUUAUGCAGAAUAUUAGGAUAUAUCAUCUGAUGAAUUGUCAAAAUGAUUUGGUAAAUUCCGCAUUCCAAAACUGGUGAAAGAUCGUCCUCUGAUAUACUUCCUCUAAUGGUUCAAUUGUAGUGAACUGCCAUGACUAAUUUUGCCUCUGAUAUAGUUCUGCUCAAAUUUCCUCUGCUACAUCUGUAUCUGAAGAAGCAAACUAGACUCUACUAAAGUUUGCCUCUGAUGAAGCAAACCAAACUCUGCUAAGUUUGCCUCUGAUGAGGUAAGUAAGACUUUGCUAAGUUUGCCUCUAAUAAAGUGAGCAAGCUUCUGCACAAACUUCCUUUAACUAGUUGCCUUUGAUAAAUUGCCUCUGGAGAUGAAGCAAGCAUUUGACUUCCUCUGCCUCUAAUAAACCCAACUAAAUUAUGUUCUUUUGCCUCUAAUACUCAAGGGUAACGAGAAUUCUUCUACCUCUUACUCUAACAAGCGUGACAAUAAUUCUUUUGCCUCUGAUAAUCUCAUCGAGCGUCUGGCUCUAAACUUUUAUGUAUCCUCUUGAAAAGUCAACGCUCUAAUAAAGUCAACACCAAGAGAAAAGUCAACGUUGAAAAAGUCAAUGCCUCUGGUGUGACACCCUAAACCCAAAUUGAAAUAAAAAGUAAAAUGCACUAGUUUUGAAAGAGAUUCGCAGCGGUCCAAAAAUAAAGUAUAAAAAAAAUUACUUUUAAAUUAUAAGGCUCAGGACGUCACACUCACACUUACACAAGACAGUUGCAUAAAAAUUCUUAGUUAAAAAUCGUUUAACAUCAAAUAUAGUUGAGGUUUAUUAAUCAAAUAUUUACGACUUAAAAACAUGUUCAAAACAUAAAGAUAAUCAAUUUUUAUCUCUGAAUAAAAGAUCGAAUAUAACACAAUUGAUUAAUAGAGUUUACAACAAAAAAAAAAGUUAGUUCAUAACUCAAUAAAUUACUCCCACCCAGUAUCAGCUAUCAAUGGAUCACCAGCCGAUAACCUGAAAUAAUUGCGCUCUUGCAAGCGCCAAACACAAACAACGAAGGAUGAACUUUGAAAACAUGUAAUAGUAUAAAAUGAUUGAGAAGAACAUGUAAGAUAUUAAUUAAACAUCGUAUCAUAUAAAAUCAAAAUUAACAAUAAUAAUCAAGGUAAAACAUCGAUACAAUCCACAACAUCAAUAAGUCAACACACAAAUCAAGUAAUAUUAUGCAUGCUUUUAUACUCUAGACUCCUCCUCUUUCUUUGGUACCAUUCUAACUCUGAAGUACUUGGUUAUGAGGCUUAUUACCAUGUCACCACGCAAGUGGACGGACAAUUCAAAUUAGUUAUGUCCUCAUAGAUCCCCUCAACUCAACCCGAGGCACAUAUACACGACAUACGAGGUAAACGUGUAUUGCAUGGUAGCUCCCGACAUUUGGAGUGCUACCUCCAAGUCAACUAGGAAUUCUCCAUCCGAAUACCUCCAAGGUCUAACAAUCUUGCCUUAAGGCUCAACAGCAGACCGCCACGAUCAACCUCAUUCAAUUGUACUUCCCCAAAAUCGUUAGGCUUGUCACGUCCUACCUAUAUGAUGACAAGAUAAUCUCCACAUCAAACAAAUAACAUCCAGAUUCUCCCCUCGUUAGCCUAGACUACUCACUCCAUUAAGAGAAUCAUCAUUGAAACAGGUCAAAUUCAUCACUAUUCAAUUAAACACAAUAUGCAUUUCAUCAUAUUCAUCAAGGUGGUAACAUCAUAAGUCAACAAGUACACAUCAUCAAUGCAUAUUCCCAUAGUUAUAUAUUACAUCCAAAAUGUAUCAUCAUGAUAUACAAGCUCCAACAAUACAAGAUUUUCACUGACAUAUAAUAAUACUAGAUCAUUCACACACAUCACGUCAAUUGCAAUGCAAAUAAUUACAAUUCAUCACAAUAUAUAUGAUAUAACAAUAUCAAGGAUAAAUAUAAACAUAUCAGAAUACGUCAAAUACACAAUUCUACAAUAAUUUAACUACCACACGAUCUUCAAAAUCUAAUCAAACAACACCCUAUAAGAGUUUCUAACUCACAUUUUAACCUUAUCAAAUUCACGUGUCAUCCAUACGUAGCAAGCCUCGAAUGAAUUAUGGGAAAUACGGUUUUUCCGUUCAUCUCGCUUAAUUUACACUCAUGAAUUCGAUCUCAUUCGCACUCCAUACCUGCUUUGACUAAUAAGUUUUAGCAACAAAAUAGCAAUAGAAACCCAGAGGUACAAUUAUUUGAGGACGAGUCCAUAGAAUAAUUGGAACGCAUACGAACAAAUCGAAACUGCGCUUAUGGAUAACAACCACAAUGAUGGAAUUCCAAAAAUAAAAGCACAUCAAUGUCUAACUUUAAUUAACAUGAACGGUUGAAACCGUUGAAACAUAAUGAACGUUGGAUGUGAGGUUCGUCGAAAAACACUUACCGUAACGGUGACGACAAUAAGUUUUCAUAGAUUUUGCUUUAAUUGAAAAACAAAUAUUGUAGGACGAAGCUCUUGACGCAUAGAUCACAAAACUGGUCUUCGUUAUUUUGGAUCAACACCAUAGUGACCAAAAUCGAGGUUUGAAGGCGAUGGUUUGAAUUUUCGAUUUGUUCCCGAAUGGUUGUUUUGGUUGUGGUUCUCCUCGUAGAUAAAGGAGUCGAGGUGAUUUCAAAUAUGGUGGUUGGAGGCCUUGACGGCACUCACGGUUGUAGAAAAAACUCACAUGUAGUUGUUGUUUGAGAUGUGUUGUGGCUUGUUUUUUACUAUGGGAGUCUCAUAUAAUAGGUCUUGAUGAAGAUGAUUGAUGGGGAAUAAAUUGUGAUGAGUUAUUCAACCAUAAAAUGGAAGAAAUUGGUGAAGAUGGUGAUGAACUAUUAUUGGCGACGGCGCAAGGUUGUAGGAACGAGAAAUAUGCAUGUGAUUUGGGUAAAAUGGAGUACAAAAUCAGCAAAAGCCCAAUAAAAAAACAAGCUGAAGCAGAAAAUAUAAGGGGUGUUGACAACAAUAUGACUCAAACUUAUAUUUCUAUAAUUUAAGUUCAAAAUAAAAUGAUAUUAAU
rnacentral:lncRNA from 1 species